rnacentral:rRNA from 1 species
AUUGAACGCUGGCGGCAGGCCUAACACAUGCAAGUCGAACGGUAACAGGAAGAAGCUUGCUUCUUUGCUGACGAGUGGCGGACGGGUGAGUAAUGUCUGGGAAACUGCCUGAUGGAGGGGGAUAACUACUGGAAACGGUAGCUAAUACCGCAUAACGUCGCAAGACCAACAUGGGGGACCUUCGGGCCUCUUGCCAUCGGUUGUGCCCAGAUGGGAUUAGCUAGUAGGUGGGGUAACGGCUCACCUAGGCGACGAUCCCUAGCUGGUCUGAGAGGAUGACCAGCCACACUGGAACGGAGACACGGUCCAGACUCCUACGGGAGGCAGCAGUGGGGAAUAUUGCACAAUGGGCGCAAGCCUGAUGCAGCCGUGCCGCGUGUAUGAAGAAGGCCUUCUGGUUGUAAAGUACUUUCAGCGGGGAGGAAGGAAGUAAAGUUAAUACCUUUGCUCAUUGACGUUACCCGCAGAAGAAGCACCGGCUAACUCCGUG